AUGAAGAAACUCCAUGCUGAUGGGCUUUUAGAAUCACUUGAUUAUGAGUCAGUUGAUGCUUGCGAACCAUGCCUCAUGGGCAAGAUGACUAAGACUCUGUUCUUCGGAACAAUGGAGCGAGCAACAGAUUUGUUGGAAAUCAUACAUACUGAUGUAUGUGGUCCGAUGAAUAUUGAGGCUCGCGACAAGUAUCAUUAUUUUCUGAUCUUCACACAUGAUUUGAGCAGAUAUGGGUAUAUCUACUUAAUGAAACACAAGUCUGAAACAGUUGAAAAAUUCAAAGAAUUUCAAAGUGAAGUGGAAAAUCAUCGUGACAAGAAAAUAAAAGUUUCUACGAUAUGA
rnacentral:rRNA from 1 species